CCUCUUAUUUGCCCACGAAUAGCUUCACAAGCUACAUUCGAACGACGUUCGGCGUCGCAACGGCGUUCGCGCCGUGCGGCCCGAUGUCCGCGAGGAAUGC
rnacentral:misc_RNA from 1 species